UACGUAGGCAGCGAGCGUUGUUCGGAAUUACUGGGCGUAAAGAGUGUGUAGGCGGUGCUCUAAGUUCGGUGUGAAAUCUCCUGGCUCAACUGGGAGGGUGCGCCGGAAACUGGAGUGCUUGAGCGUGGGAGAGGAAAGCGGAAUUCCUGGUGUAGCGGUGAAAUGCGUAGAUAUCAGGAGGAACACCGGUGGCGAAGGCGGCUCUCUGGACCACAACUGACGCUGAGGCGCGAAAGCUAGGGGAGCAAACAGG
rnacentral:rRNA from 1 species